UAUGAUCCAGAGUACCACGGGACACGUGAAACCCUGUGGGAAGCAGGAGGGACCACCCUCCAAGGCUAAAUACUACCUAGUGACCGAUAGCGUAUAGUACCGUGAGGGAAAGGUGAAAAGAACCCCGGGAGGGGAGUGAAAUAGAACCUGAAACCCUGCACUUACAAGCUGUGGAAGCACAUUUCUUGUGUGACCGCGUACUUUUUGUAGAACGGGCCAACGAGUUACGUUAAGUAGCAAGGUUAAGCACUUAAGGUGUGGAGCCGU
rnacentral:rRNA from 1 species